rnacentral:rRNA from 1 species
UACGUAGGGGGCAAGCGUUGUUCGGAAUUACUGGGCGUAAAGGGCGCGUAGGCGGCACAGCAAGUCGGGAGUGAAAGCCCGGGGCUCAACCCCGGAACGCUUUCGAAACUGCUGAGCUAGAGUACAGAAGGGGCAACCGGAAUUCCCAGUGUAGCGGUGAAAUGCGUAGAUAUUGGGAAGAACACCUGAGGCGAAGGCGGGUUGCUGGGCUGAUACUGACGCUGAGGCGCGAAAGCCAGGGGAGCAAACGGG